UCAACUAUUGUACUGCCUGACAGAAUUCCACCGUCUCCCACGCCUGGCUAUAGACGCAGUCCUGAGGCACCCUAAUGACUCGCGUGAAUUUACCGAAUGGACGCUCCAAAUUAGUAGCAAAUGUCACAUCUCUUAAAACUGAGGCCAUGCUCCCAACAUAACCUCCAGGUAGAUUCAGCUGCCUCCAGAAUCAUUAAAUCCGAGAAGUCAACAGCAAUUUCUAUUUUGUGAGUUUGCAGUUCUCAAACAUAUGUCAACACCAAAAUCUUGGUAAGUCCAUACGGGUAAAAACAGUGAUGAGUAACUUCCUGUGCACUUACCAUGCGCCCGGCCCAUUUCAUAAUCGCUUAUUGGACUUUCCCCACAGUUCUAGAGGCUCGAUCCUAUCAUUAUCCUCGUUUUAGACAUACGGGAGCUGGAGGUAAAUGUUUUGCCCAAGUUCAGACAUGCAGCCGCACCCCACAGACCACUAAGUGACAAGGCGCUCACACUUGUGCAUUCUCUCUAUUGUUUUAACUAUCAAAAGAGGGGAAAAAAAGAUGUCCGCAGGUUUAGCCUCAAGGAAAGCUAACCUAUGAAACUGCAAAAAAUACAGAGAAAUUAUUUAAGAGCCUAUUUUUUAUUUCUCAACAACAUAGACGGAUGUCAUCUUCAUUCUUUUGAAACAUGGAGGCCUUAUAUCCCAAAUUUGAACACGUGGGCUGGAUUUUAACUGGAAAAAAAUAACUUGCUCUUCUUUGGGAUUGUGGCGGGAGGAGGCCGGACAGGCAAACUCAAAAUUUAAGGCCACCACCGUGGGCGUGUAGUUCAAAAAAGAGAGAAUUACAGAGCUUUCUUCCCCAGAGAGAUGCUGUUGGCCUGGCAGAGCCCUGACAGUUGGCAACUCCCAAAACUGCGUAAUUUUCCAUUCUCAUUUAUAAAACAAUUGCAGGAAUGUUGACAAGUAUAAUACGCAUAAGAAAGCCACUUAAAUUAAUAAUGGCCAUCAUUUACCGAAUGCUUACUAUCUGGCACAGAGCUAAUAAUGUUUUAUAUAUGGUCUUUCUUCUUAAAAAGACUCUGAGAAGCCAGUAUCACAUGCCCAUUCUGCAGAUGACAGCUGGAAGACUCGGAAUGUAAGUCAUCCAUCCGAUGAGCUGGUCCACCAGGCACGUCGUGUCCAGAGGCCCCGCCCUACGCCUCUGUGCUCUGCGGCGUCCUCCAGCCCCGAGAGAAGCUGCCUUUCAGUCCUCCUGUCUGUCUGUUCCUUCACUCCAUUUCCCAGGUUAAGGUGCUGGCUUUUCAAGGUCAUGAAACCAUGAUACAGAACGUUUUCGAUCCCUAAAGAGAUCUGCAAUUUCUUUCCAAAGAUGAAGGUGUUAACCUUGGAGUCUUGGACAAAUUUCAAAUCCAGUAAUUGCAUUCUGCCUGUUUUGACUUUACUCAGAAGUAAGAUCAUUGAAAAACAUCCUAGAACAAAAGGUUUCUGUUGCGAGGACCUAAGCCAGUAGUUUCGAUCCUGGGAGCAGUUUGUCCGAAUGACAGGAAAACUGAUGUCAGAAGAAAACUUCCAGAAGUUACGAGGCUACAAAGCAGCAGAGCUGGACUUGAAGCCCGGACAUCUUAGCAUCAAAGACUCUGGCCUCAGCCCCGUUGGGAUGGACGGCUGAGCAGCUCAGUGCUGCGCUGUCCACGCAGGCCCCGUAGCCAUAGUUCAGAAAGAAGUUGUUUAAAAAGGCAGAUUUCUGGAUCCCAGUGGUGGAAAUCUCUGGGAGUGGGGCCCGGGAGUCUCUGUUUAGAAUGAGCCGCCUGGAGUCGUCCUUGUGCACACUGCAGUUUGAGAAGUCGACUAUACGGGUGCCUUGUCUGGCUCCAGGAGGUAAAUGGAGACUCAGUCAACUGUGAUCAUUGUCCUGCUUGGGGCCAGAUUGAAGAAAUGCUGAGCUGGGGGGCUACCUACAGAGUCGCGUUCUUGAAUGAAUGAUUCAUUCCAUAAUCAUCUACUGACAAUCCUCACGUCCUCAGGGCUCCAUCCACGGCCUUCUUUUCACUUUCCACAGCAUCCCCAGGUGAUCUCAACCACACGUGGUCUCUGUCACCACCAGUUGCCUGUGCAUCUUGUCCAGCAACCCAAACAUGGCAGCAAACUCUUUGUCACUCCUCCCAUCGAGAGGCAGGGUCUAGACCCCCUCCCUAGUGUCUGGACAGGCUUGUGACAGCUCGAAGAACAGAGCACCAGGAAGUGAUGCUCUGUUAUUUCAGAAGGUUGGUCAUAAAAGGUAUGCGGCUUCUACCUGGCUCUCCGGGAUGCUCCCUCGCAGAAUCUAGCCACCAUGCUUCCAGAAGCCCAAGCCACAUAGAUGAGCUUUGAGUCCAGCCUCCAAGUCAGUGCACCCCUGAUCCAGACAUAUGAGUAGAGAAGCUUCUGGAUGACUCCAGCCGUCAGCCUUUCAAGUUACCCUCAGCUCCAGGUCUUCUCACACAUGGUGGGGUAGGGACAAGCUCCCCACUGCUGGCUUCCAUCCAAAUUCCUGACCCACUGAAGCUGUGAUCCUAAUGAAAUACCUGUUGUUUUAUGCCUCGAAUUUGGGAGUGGUUUGUUAUGCGGGAUUAGUAACCAGAACAAGCAGCAACUGAACAUCCCACAAAAACCUGAACUGUGACAUCUGAAAUGGCAUUCAUCGCCUUUCUCCUUCCUGACAGGUGCCAUAUUGCGGAGAUGGUCCCCAUCCACACCGUGUCGGUUAGGGAUGCAAAUAACAAAAGCCUCACUAAGCCACCGGAAAGAAGUGGGGCUGGGCAAGGUCACAUAUUUUCUUUCUCAAAACAAGAAACUCGAGGUGAGAUGCUGCUGGCAUUGACUCCGCUGCUCAACGAUGCUUCGAGGAUCAAAGACCUAUUUUUUAAUCCCUGCAUUCUCAUGCUGGGCUUGACAUCAAAGAUGGUUGCUGCCUCUCCAGACAUUGUGUGUGUGUGUGUGUUUAAUACGUUAUUCUGUUGCAAGAAAGAAGUAGGAGAUGGUUAUUGGGACAGAGUGUACCUAACAACGUCACUGCCAGAUUCGUUGUCAACCCAGAAAUAGAAGUGCUGCCUUCUUCCCAGGGCCCCGACCAAUCAGGGAGGUGUCCUCUCUAUUUACUCUCCUCUGAAACUCACCUGCCUCUGCCCAGCCUCUGCUCCUUCCUCAGCUCAGACCCCUGACAUCUCUGGGAUUACUGGAACGAUAGGUCUCAUUGCCUCCAGUCUGGACGCCCCCUCCCCGCCUCCACAAGGCUGCGCUGAGUGGUCUGGCCAGCAUGCAAAUGUUGACUUGUCCCCAUUGCCACCACCC
rnacentral:lncRNA from 1 species